AGUAAAUAGAUACCCGGGUAGUCCACGCCGUAAACGAUGAGUACUAGGUGUAGGAGGUAUCGACUCCUUCUGUGCCGCAGUUAAACACAAUAAGUACUCCGCCUGGGAAGUACGGUCGCAAGAUUAAAACUCAAAGGAAUUGACGGGGGCCCGCACAAGCAGCGGAGCAUGUGGUUUAAAUUCGAAGCAACGCGAAGAACCUUACCUAGACUUGACAUCCCCUGAAUAACGUAGAGAUACGCGAAGCCCUUCGGGGCAGGGAGACAGGUGGUGCAUGGUUGUCGUCAGCUCGUGUCGUGAGAUGUUGGGUUAAGUCCCGCAACGAGCGCAACCCUUAUCAUUAGUUGCUACCAUUUAGUUGAGCACUCUAGUGAGACUGCCCGGGUUAACCGGGAGGAAGGCGGGGAUGACGUCAAAUCAUCAUGCCCCUUAUGUCUAGGGCUACACACGUGCUACAAUGGUGAGAACAACGAGACGCAAUACCGCGAGGUGGAGCAAAAACUUCAAAAACUCAUCUCAGUUCGGAUUGUAGGCUG
rnacentral:rRNA from 1 species